CGAGCAAAACGUGCAAUCGCUGCUGGGCUUGACCCAGGAGAGGAAAGUCGGGGCUCCAUAGGGCAGGGUGCUGGAUAACGUCCAGUCAAGGCGACUUGAAGGAUAGUGCAACAGAGAUAUACCGCCUAAGUUUACUUAGGUAAGGGUGGAAAGGCGAGGUAAGAGCUCACCAGCGUGAUGGUGACAUCACGGCUAUGUAAACCCCACUUGGAGCAAGACCGAAUAGAGAGGCAUUAAGGGAUUGCCCGUCCCGCCUCCGGGUGCGUCGCUUGAGCUCAUUGGCAACAAUGAGCCUAGAUAGAUGAUUGCUUAAUACAGAACCCCGCUUACGGCUUGUCUCGCAUA
rnacentral:RNase_P_RNA from 19 species